CCCUUAGAUGUUCUGGGCCGCACGCGCGCUACACUGUUCGACGCAGCGAGUCUUAACCUUGACCGAAAGGUUUGGGUAAUCUUCAGCAAAGUCGAACGUGAUGGGGAUCGAUCAUUGCAAUUAUUGAUCGUGAACGAGGAAUUCCUAGUAAGUGCAAGUCAUCAGCUUGCGCUGAUUACGUCCCUGCCCUUUGUACACACCGCCCGUCACUACUACCGAUUGAAUGGUUUAGUGAGAUCUCUGGAUUGACGCUGGCUAGGGGGCGACCCUUGGCCAGACUGUUGAGAAACUGCUCAAACUUGAUCAUUUAGAGGAAGUAAAAGUCGUAACA
rnacentral:rRNA from 1 species